CAUGCCUAACACAUGCAAGUCGAACGAAGGCUUCGGCCUUAGUGGCGCACGGGUGCGUAACGCGUGGGAAUCUGCCCUUGGGUUCGGAAUAACAGUUAGAAAUGACUGCUAAUACCGGAUGAUGACGAAAGUCCAAAGAUUUAUCGCCCAGGGAUGAGCCCGCGUAGGAUUAGGUAGUUGGUGGGGUAAAGGCCUACCAAGCCGACGAUCCUUAGCUGGUCUGAGAGGAUGAUCAGCCACACUGGGACUGAGACACGGCCCAGACUCCUACGGGAGGCAGCAGUGGGGAAUAUUGGACAAUGGGCGAAAGCCUGAUCCAGCAAUGCCGCGUGAGUGAUGAAGGCCUUAGGGUCGUAAAGCUCUUUUACCAGGGAUGAUAAUGACAGUACCUGGAGAAUAAGCUCCGGCUAACUCCGUGCCAGCAGCCGCGGUAAUACGGAGGGAGCUAGCGUUGUUCGGAAUUACUGGGCGUAAAGCGCACGUAGGCGGUUAUUCAAGUCAGAGGUGAAAGCCCGGGGCUCAACCCCGGAACUGCCUUUGAAACUAGAUGACUGGAAUCUUGGAGAGGUCAGUGGAAUUCCGAGUGUAGAGGUGAAAUUCGUAGAUAUUCGGAAGAACACCAGUGGCGAAGGCGACUGACUGGACAAGUAUUGACGCUGAGGUGCGAAAGCGUGGGGAGCAAAC
rnacentral:rRNA from 1 species